rnacentral:rRNA from 1 species
UACGGGGGGGGGCAAGCGUUGUUCGGAAUUACUGGGCGUAAAGGGCUCGUAGGUGGCCAACUAAGUCAGACGUGAAAUCCCUCGGCUUAACCGGGGAACUGCGUCUGAUACUGGAUGGCUUGAGUUUGGGAGAGGGACGCGGAAUUCCAGGUGUAGCGGUGAAAUGCGUAGAUAUCAGGAGGAACACCGGUGGCGAAGGCGGGACUCUGGGCCGAUACUGACGCUGAGGAGCGAAAGCGUGGGGAGCAAACAGG